UGGGGAAUAUUGCACAAUGGGCGAAAGCCUGAUGCAGCGACGCCGCGUGAGGGAUGACGGCCUUCGGGUUGUAAACCUCUUUCAGCAGGGAAGAAGCGAAAGUGACGGUACCUGCAGAAGAAGCGCCGGCUAACUACGUGCCAGCAGCCGCGGUAAUACGUAGGGCGCAAGCGUUGUCCGGAAUUAUUGGGCGUAAAGAGCUCGUAGGCGGUUAGUCGCGUCUGCUGUGAGAACUCGAGGCUCAACCUCGGGCUUGCAGUGGGUACGGGCUGACUAGAGUGCGGUAGGGGUGACUGGAAUUCCUGGUGUAGCGGUGGAAUGCGCAGAUAUCAGGAGGAACACCGAUGGCGAAGGCAGGUCACUGGGCCGCAACUGACGCUGAGGAGCGAAAGCAUGGGGAGCGAACAGGAUUAGAUACCCUGGUAGUCCAUGCCGUAAACGUUGGGCACUAGGUGUGGGGUCCAUUCCACGGAUUCCGUGCCGCAGCAAACGCAUUAAGUGCCCCGCCUGGAGAGUACGGCCGCAAGGCU
rnacentral:rRNA from 1 species